AUACGUAGGGGGCGAGCGUUGUCCGGAAUGAUUGGGCGUAAAGGGCGCGUAGGCGGCCCGGUAAGUCUGAAGUGAAAGUCCUGUUUUUAAGAUGGGAAUUGCUUUGGAUACUGUCGGGCUUGAGUGCAGGAGAGGUAAGUGGAAUUCCCAGUGUAGCGGUGAAAUGCGUAGAGAUUGGGAGGAACACCAGUGGCGAAGGCGACUUACUGGACUGUAACUGACGCUGAGGCGCGAAAGUGUGGGGAGCAAACAGGAUUAGAUACCCUGGUAGUCCACACUGUAAACGAUGAAUGCUAGGUGUAGGGGGUAUCGACCCCUUCUGUGCCGCAGUAAACACAAUAAGCAUUCCGCCUGGGGAGUACGGCCGCAAGGUUGAAACUCAAAGGAAUUGACGGGG
rnacentral:rRNA from 1 species